rnacentral:rRNA from 1 species
CCUACGGGGCGAGCUGGGGCGAAAACUUUACAAUGCGGGAAACCGUGAUAAGGGGACACCGAGUGUCAGCAUCAUAUGCUGGCUGUCCAGGUGUGUAAAAUACACCUGUUAGCAAGGGCCGGGCAAGACCGGUGCCAGCCGCCGCGGUAACACCGGCGGCCCGAGUGGUGAUCGUGAUUAUUGGGUCUAAAGGGUCCGUAGCCGGUUUGGUCAGUCCUCCGGGAAAUCUGAUAGSCUCAACUAUUAGGCUAUAGGGGGAUACUGCCAGGCUUGGAACCGGGGAGAGGUAAGAAGGACUWCAGGGGUAGGAGUGAAAUCUUGUAAUCCCUGUGGGACCACCUGUGGCGAAGGCGUCUUACCAGAACGGGUUCSARGGUGARGGACSAAARSUKGGGGSMMRAAMCSGAUUARAUWCCCSGG